CGGCGGCAGCCUACACAUGCAAGUCGAGCGGUAGAGAGAAGCUUGCUUCUCUUGAGAGCGGCGGACGGGUGAGUAAUGCCUAGGAAUCUGCCUGGUAGUGGGGGAUAACGCUCGGAAACGGACGCUAAUACCGCAUACGUCCUACGGGAGAAAGCAGGGGACCUUCGGGCCUUGCGCUAUCAGAUGAGCCUAGGUCGGAUUAGCUAGUUGGUGAGGUAAUGGCUCACCAAGGCGACGAUCCGUAACUGGUCUGAGAGGAUGAUCAGUCACACUGGAACUGAGACACGGUCCAGACUCCUACGGGAGGCAGCAGUGGGGAAUAUUGGACAAUGGGCGAAAGCCUGAUCCAGCCAUGCCGCGUGUGUGAAGAAGGUCUUCGGAUUGUAAAGCACUUUAAGUUGGGAGGAAGGGCAUUAACCUAAUACGUUAGUGUUUUGACGUUACCGACAGAAUAAGCACCGGCUAACUCUGUGCCAGCAGCCGCGGUAAU
rnacentral:rRNA from 1 species